UUGGCUAAACACUUGAAAAUAGUUGUUUCAUUAAUUAUUGUUCUUCAUAAAUCAUUCAUUUCAACUCAAACCAACUAAUAUUUAUCAAUCAAUGUAGCGUGCCAAAAAGCAAUAUACUCAAUCAGAGUAGUUCAAUCAACUAUAUUAGCACCAAUCGGAUUAAAGAUAAAAAAGAGAGAUGGACCUUAAUUUGCAUUUAUAUUUAGAAAUUCCAGAAAUUACAACAACAGAGAAAAAUUGAAGGACCAAUGAAUCCGGAACAGUGGAUCACAACAACGCUUUUGAACGGAAACAGUGAACCCGACCAGAAACUCAAACGGCGAUCAAAGAAUCUCCAAACAGCGACAAACUCGAACCAACUCGCAAUCUUUCGAAAGUCAAACCACAAACAUAGAACCUCUGCUUCGUAUGGAACAAGAAAACAUAGGUGAUUUGCUUCCUUCCAAACUAAAGUUUUAUUGAGAAAUUGACUUGAGAAGGGAAAAAAGUGAUUUAUUGAGAGGUGGUGCUAAACAAAAAC
rnacentral:lncRNA from 1 species